GUCAUGAUUUCAUUCAGUGGUGAGAAAUUGAAUUGGAGUUGACGACAAAGCAGGAAAACUUGUCUUUCUCUUCCAGUCUAUGAAUAAAAAUGAGGAGGUUGAG